UCGUCAUCGGCUUGAGCCCCACCAGUUCUUCCCCAAAUCUUGCAAAACCUAACCCUCAGCCCCGACCACACGGCCGCCGCCGCCACCAACCACUCGACCGCAGCGCCGGCUUCCUCCCGGAACACAGUCGCCGCCGACCGCCUAGUCGUCGCCGAGCACCCUUCUCUACCAAGGAAACCUUCGCCGCUUCGUCCCCAUCCCCCGCGCACCUAGCGCCUGCUUCCUCCCGAGGAAUGCCGCAGACCGCCCUCCAUCCCCACCACAACAGCGACCUCCUCCACAGGUUUCCUCCGCCGAGCAGGCCUCCUCCUCCUCAAGCUUUCUCCCCCGAACAGGGCCUCCUCCUCCACGAGCAUCCUUCCCCGAGCACUAAGUUGGGCCGCAUCCUGGUUCCCUCACCCGAGCAGCGGACCUUCCUGUACGGCCCCUCUCCUGAGAAGCUCCACCUCCUCUACAUCCUCCCCCAGGUGCAGCGCCACCUCCUUGCUCACCGAGAGCACUUGGCUGCAAAUGGAUGCUUCAACUACAUACUAAAUCAGUGAAUCCCAGUAGGUGUACUACAUGCAAGCUUCUGGAAAUUAAGUUUCAAGGUCGUGCUGCAAAUAUAGCUAGAGAAUUUCUUUCUGUCUAUUUUUUCUGCACAUGUAGACUGAAAGUGAAGUAACGCUUCUAGAGUUUAAUAGUUUUAACUAGUGAAUGUGUUAGUUUUAUGAAAAAUAGAUAUACAGGGUUUGAUCUGGAAUUUUCUUCUAUAAUUUUCUAUUGCCAGUUUGCCACUGCUCCCAGUCAUGUGAUUCAGGAAUUUAAUUAUUAGUAGUUGUCUAUCAUAGUAGAAAUCCCUUCAAGUGUUGCAACCUUUAUUAUUGAACUGAAAAACAUUUGCCUGAUAAUUUAAUUUUCUAGAGUAAAAUGAGAGCAAUUGGGUUUUGUACUGUCGCCCCUACUGGAAAUUGCAUGGCAUCAUGACUUAUUGAAUUACCAGAUCCCCUGUUCUUAAAACUGUUUUUAUUUAGCUUAACGCUUAAGAACAAAUUCAACCAAAGCUAUGUUCACAGAGAUGGUAAAUAGCUUAAGAUGUGCCUGUGGUUCAGAUUUUAGAGAAGACCUACUUGCGGUGCCACGUGCAAGUAAUAUGACCCUGGUAGUACAGUACCUUGUCAUGCAGGGCCACGAGUAAUAUAAGACUAUUGUUUUGUUGCUGAUAAUUAGAACGUUUGGAUGCUCGUUGUUUAGGUUCUGCGUCUAGUUUGGUAGUAGUGCUGGUGUGUGUGGCUUAGUUUCUGAUGUUUUGAGGUACCCCUGGAAGGGGACGAACUUGAGACAUGUGAUGUUUUCAGUAAUGAAAAUUGGGAGAUAUGCUCCUAAGUAGAUUUUCUUUUGAAGAAUUGGGUCAUGGGGCUAGCUGACUACCAUGCUCUUUUCUCCUAUAUGUAAUUCUUACAAACCGUUCCCUAAUUUUCAUUUGAUGCUUUCACUGAAUUAAUAUUUUGGAUUGUUUGUUUUGUGAUCAGUGUGCAUCUUGUUUGUCCUCUCCACCAAGCAGCAUCGGCUACUCCAUACAAGCACAUAAGCUUAUGCUCUUAUGAUUAUAUAUUUACCAAUGACUAUUAUGGUUGAUAGUUUUAAAGUCUUUGCUUCUAUCUAUGCAGUUGAGAAUGACUUAUAAGUUCAUGGCAAAAGCAGCAACAUGAGUACGCAACCACAAGCAAGCUGAGGGGGUAAUAAUUUUGGUAGUUAAGUCUUGGAUUCAGGUUUUUGCUUUUGGAUACAUGUUUGCUGCCAUUUCAGAACAUUGAAACCUAUUUAGCAUUUCGUUUCUUAUAUGCUUCAUGCAAAUAAAACUGCAGUAAACAUAUGAGCCGAGAUUUUGCUUGGCAUGUGUAUGUAUGCAUGCCCUGAAUUUGCUUAGCAUUUUUAUGCAUACAACUAUUGGAAGCUUUUACAUGUCCUGGAUCUGAGCUUUUGCAUGCCCUGUGUUUUCUGAAGCUGAGUCUUUUGUUAUUGGCUAGUACUUGAAACAGAGUCGCAGGCCUCCUGCCAUAUAACCAUUUAUGAAGUGCAUAUGUGAUGCCUUAUCUUGUAUUCCUACACAUAGUAUAGUAUUUUUUUCAUGUGUAAAAAGUGGCUGACCUGGCAUUACACUGUUAAGUAUUUUGUACACAUCUGGAAUCUUGUUGUAGAUACACACUGAGCUGAAAAUGAUGCUAGCAGAAAUAGGUUUUCUGUUAGCUACGCAUCUGGUUUAAAACAUGAUAUGACUACUUGCUCUGUAAUAGUAACGCCUUGAUAUUAUCUGAUCCUAUCUCAUGUAUAUUUUAGUUAUUUCUAGACAAAACUUUAGGAACCGAGUUCACUACAACUCGAAGUCUUGUGCAUGGAGGAGAAUUGAGAUAUUUGCGCAUUCUGUACUGGUCAAAAGGUAUGUGUAGAUAUUCUGCUCAUUCUAGUUCAUGCUGCUACUUUAUUAAGGUCUUCUUUUAUGAGCCUCUACCUUAUGCAAAUAAUAUGAUUAUUUAGCAGCCUGGUUUCAUAGCUUUGAAUGUCAUGUGAAUAAACUAUAUGUCUAGGUGUUUGCUGUUCUUUGCUGAACUAGAUAUCGAAGUAUAGACAACAAGCUCAUGUACAAGAUGGAAAUUAUGAUGGUUAUUUAGUUUAUUUCAUUGAUUCUCGGCAUAUUAAUUGAUUGUAACGUUCUAGCUUUAUUUAAGGAGAUGUAAAAGAAACAACAAGUAAUCUCCUUUUCCUUUCUUUUCACAAUUGUCAUGAUUUUAUAUGACCUUUUUUAGUCAAUCUGUUGUCGUCGGUCUGAAUUUUUAGAUAAUUAAAAUUUGUGAUGGAUUCUUAAAUUGAUUAGGAAGACUGGAUUUGUAAAACUUUGUUUGUGUCGCUGGAUGCAGAUCUUUUAUGUCCUUCCAAUACCUUGAACUAACUAUUUUCUCUGCAGUUACAUAUAUGCAUAUCUUAUGCUCAUUUGCCGGGCUUGACCAAAGUUUGGCCGACCUUUUGGUGUCUAUUAUUUGUGUAAGUUUCAUCGCUUUAGAAGUAAUAUCAAUCCAAAGCUUUUCUUCAAUAGAGCAAUUCAGCUAGUAUGUUCGCAAGCAAAUUUAUGCCAGGACAAGUACUAGUAGUGGAGCCAAGAACAUAUUAGGGCACGAUAUUUAAUGGAUUAUUCACGUAGGUUCCUGGCAAACUUUGCUAUCAAUUCUGUUCCCAUAUCCUCGGGCAUGCGAAAUCCCCCCUCAAGAGGCGAGCCAUUAGUGUUUGAUGUCUGAGCCUAUCUCCAUUUUUUGUGCUACAAUAUAGAUAGUUUACCAAGGUUAUUAGCUUAUAGCAGAUCUACCAUCUUCUCCUUUUAGGUUGGCAUCAUGGUUGGAAGAUCUUCUAUGCUACUCUCUACAUGAUGUUUCUUCUACAUGAUAGCGCUUGAAGUCUACAUGAUGUUUCUUGUAUUCAUAGCUCAAACCAUUUGUUUAGCUUAGUUUGAACAAAAAAUAUUAUUGUCUUACAUGUAAAUAAUGUUUACUAAUGUAGCUGGAUGCUACUGAACGCAUGUACGAAAGUCAAAAUACUAAAGUGUUAGUCAUUACGUGUUUGACAACUGCUGUUGAAUCUUGAGUGAAUUCUUGUAUGAAUAGAAAAAAUGCCACCAAAUUCCUGUA